GGACAGAAAGCCCCUAUGAAGCUUUACUGUAUCUUGAGACUGAUUUCGGGUUUUAUCUGCGCAGAAUAGGUGGGAGGCGUUGAAACAAAACUUGCGGGAUUUGUGGAGUCAUUAGUGAGAUACCACUCUGAUAAAACUAGAAAUCUAACCUUUUUCUGUAAGCCAGAGAAGAGACACUCUCAGGUGGGCAGUUUGACUGGGGCGGUCGCCUCCUAAAAAGUAACGGAGGCGUACAAAGGUUUCCUCAGAUCGGUCAGACAUCGAUUUUUGAGCAUAAAGGUAUAUGGAAGCUUGACUGUGAGACCUACAAGUCGAACAGAGACGAAAGUCGGUCUUAGUGAUCUGGCGAUAUUGAAUGGAAAAGUCGUCACUCAACGGAUAAAAGUUACUCUAGGGAUAACAGGCUGA
rnacentral:rRNA from 1 species